rnacentral:rRNA from 1 species
AUUGAACGCUGGCGGCAGGCCUAACACAUGCAAGUCGAGCGAGCGGCGGACGGGUGAGUAAUGUCUGGGAAACUGCCUGAUGGAGGGGGAUAACUACUGGAAACGGUAGCUAAUACCGCAUACCAUCAGAUGUGCCCAGAUGGGAUUAGCUAGUAGGUGGGGUAACGGCUCACCUAGGCGACGAUCCCUAGCUGGUCUGAGAGGAUGACCCGCCAACAUGGAACUGGGGCACGGUCCAGACCCCUACGGGAGGCAGCAGUGGGGAAAAUUGGACAAUGGGCGCAAACCUGAUGGAGCCAAGCCGCGUGUGUGAAGAAGGCCUUCGGGGUGUAAAGCACUUUCAGCGGGGAGGCGUUACCCGCAGAAGAAGCACCGGCUAACUCCGUGCCAGCAGCCGCGGUAAUUC